rnacentral:rRNA from 1 species
UACGUAGGGUGCGAGCGUUAAUCGGAAUUACUGGGCGUAAAGCGCACGCAGGCGGUCUGUCAAGUCGGAUGUGAAAUCCCCGGGCUCAACCUGGGAACUGCAUUCGAAACUGGCAGGCUAGAGUCUUGUAGAGGGGGGUAGAAUUCCAGGUGUAGCGGUGAAAUGCGUAGAGAUCUGGAGGAAUACCGGUGGCGAAGGCGGCCCCCUGGACAAAGACUGACGCUCAGGUGCGAAAGCCAGGGGAGCGAACGGG